UUUGGUGCAAUACAACUUAUAUGCAAUUACCUUAUAAACUUAUGGUGUACUGCUGUUUGUUCAAGACUGUUUUGGUAAAUGUUUUACAUAAUCCAUGAAGAAUUUGGCGAGUCGGAAGCCACUGUUGCAUUAUGUCUUUUUAAGUUGGCGAGCUAAAAUGUGUUCCAAAGUGGCAAUCGGAGAUAAGAUCUACAUCCAUUUAAAUUUUUACCUCAAAUAAUAAAGAGUGCAACCAGAUCUGUCACUACUACUGUGCCUUUAUGAUUUGAAUAUAAUUAUGAAAGAAUAUGUGGAUUUCUUAGCUCAGUUUUCCUACUCAUAAGGUUUGAUGGUAGAUCUUCUGUGACUGCAAAGGUGUUUUGAUUUUGUUGUGUCAACUGGAAUCAUACAUGUAUUACCUGGUUUCCUCUCUGCAUGUGUGGUAGCAUUACUGUUUAGUGUUUUUUACUUUCUCCUUGUGCGUGUAUAUUUCAAUGCACUGAACCAAAGUCUGCUGUUUGAUUCAGGACUUAGAAUGCUAUAAUUUACAUUCCAUCCAUGAAGCUGAGUUUUAGGUGUAUCUGCACCUACAAACCUGUUCAAGGUGCUUUUAAGUACCGAGCUGAAGACAAAGCUGCAAAGAAGGAAAAGCUUCUAAAGAGGGCAAAAGCCUGUUGUUGUUAAGUACAGUCUCAAUCAUGUCACUUAUCUCAUAGAACAUAACAAGGCACAGUUGGUGGUGAUUGUUCAUGAUGUGGAUCCUAUUGAGCUUAUCGUGCACAAGAAAACAACUACAGUCCUAUGCUUGACCAGAGGAUAAAUUGGAGUUCAGCAAAAUAUUAGAAGCCAUCAAGGCUAAUUACAAUGAUAAAUUUGAUGAGAUCAGGAAGAAAUAGCGUGGUGGGAUAAUGGGAUCCAAAUCCCAGGCCAAAACAAAGGCCAGGGAAAAGAUGCAUACCAUCAGAGGAUGAGUUAGAUCUUCUCUCUGUGUUGUUAGUUG